UACGGAGGGGGCUAGCGUUGUUCGGAAUUACUGGGCGUAAAGCGCACGUAGGCGGCUUUGUAAGUUAGAGGUGAAAGCCCAGGGCUCAACCCUGGAAUUGCCUUUAAGACUGCAUCGCUAGAAUUGUGGAGAGGUAAGUGGAAUUCCGAGUGUAGAGGUGAAAUUCGUAGAUAUUCGGAAGAACACCAGUGGCGAAGGCGACUUACUGGACACAUAUUGACGCUGAGGUGCGAAAGCGUGGGGAGCAAACAGGG
rnacentral:rRNA from 1 species